rnacentral:rRNA from 1 species
UACGUAGGGCGCAAGCGUUUGUCCGGAAUUAUUGGGCGUAAAGAGCUCGUAGGCGGUCUGUCGCGUCUGCUGUGAAAACUCAGGGCUUAACCCUGAGCUUGCAGUGGGUACGGGCAGACUAGAGUGCGGUAGGGGAGACUGGAAUUCCUGGUGUAGCGGUGAAAUGCGCAGAUAUCAGGAGGAACACCGGUGGCGAAGGCGGGUCUCUGGGCCGUAACUGACGCUGGAGGAGCGAAAGCAUCGGGGAGCGAACAGG